rnacentral:misc_RNA from 1 species
GGUCAGUGCACUAGAUAAGGCUCAACUUCAAGAUGGUUAUGUAUCAUACCCUUGGGAGAAGAAGAUGAGGGAGUCUCUGCCCAUACCAAACGCAAGCUGCUUCAUCUCGUUACUCGUCCUCCCGAAAGCAACUGACACUGCUGGAACUCGAUACAAUUCCCUUGAGGACACCUUAGCACGAGCAAAUGCUUGGCUCAACUCCUCUCAGGCCUCUGGGAUCCCCAUUCUGUUCAUGAAUUUGCAGACUGAAGGCUUACUUACAAAGAUCUCUGGAGAGACGGCAUCAGCAACUGUGAAUACGGGAUCACUGUCUGAUCUUUCAAACCUGGCUAAUGUGAGUUUGUAUGGAUUUGAGGACUACCAUGGAGUGGACAUCGGAGUAGUGAGGGCUGUUCGGCUUUGGUACACUCCAGUUGCGGGGGAGUUGGCAGUGGAGAUUGGGUUACACGAAGGAGACACCAAAUUAGGCUUUGCAAUUAGUCGCACGGACGAGGGAUUCAUCUUCAUAUCUUCCGUGAUACAAGACGAUGAUGAAACUGUAGCCUCGACACGAUCAGGCCUCCGAGACCUAUACCAGGAAGCAACAAAUGCAGGCAAGCUACUCGUGAUCUCUCGAGUCUCGAACGAAAAGGUCCUCCCAUGGAUGGUGUCCUCUUCUGGCGCAAUCCGAUGCUUCGACACUGUCUCUCUCAGCAAGAAGCUCUCACUGCACCGCCAUGCGCUGCGUCCGAUCCUACUCCAUGUGCUCAUGUGGGAGCAGCCCUCACAGGCUGUGAGCAACGGGUUCGAAACCUUUAGGUCUAGGGCCAGGGCUUUGGCUCCAGCUCCGGCUCCUGUGCCACUACAAAUGUCAACUGCUGAGUUUGAUCUUGGUGGUGCAUCUGAGGCUCGGCUCGGGAGGGACACUGCAGGGGAUGUGUCGUUCAGAUUCCAUGAUUUUGCUCCUCCAAACAACUGGGUGUGAUACUACUUUGUGUGUCAAGGUUGGUUGAUGUGUGAUAUAUGUUGAUGAAGGGGCUGGACAUGCAUGUAUGGGAGUUGUGUG